AUGUACCCACGUACACUCCGGUUCCUCCGCGCCGUCCGCACUCACCCGACGACUGCUCGCUACGUUUUGUUAGCC
rnacentral:sRNA from 2 species